rnacentral:rRNA from 1 species
GACAGAGGUGCCGAGCGUUAGGCGGAAUCACUGGGCUUAAAGCGUGUGUAGGCGGGCCGUUAAGUAUCUUGUGAAAUCCCCCGGCUCAACCGGGGAAUGGCUGGAUAUACUGGCGGUCUUGAGCAGUCUAGGGGCAGAUGGAACAGACGGUGGAGCGGUGAAAUGCGUAGAUAUCGUCUGGAACGCCAAAGGUGAAGACAGUCUGCUGGGGACUUGCUGACGCCGAGACACGAAAGCCAGGGGAGCGAACGGG